GGGCGACGAUGCAUAGCUGGUCUGAGAGGAUGAUCAGCCACACUGGAACUGAGACACGGUCCAGACUCCUACGGGAGGCAGCAGUGGGGAAUAUUGCGCAAUGGGGGAAACCCUGACGCAGCAAUGCCGCGUGAGUGAGGAAGGCCUUCGGGUUGUAAAGCUCUGUCAGAUAGGAAGAACUGCUCUUGGUCUAAUAGGCCUUGAGUUUGACGGUACUAUCAAAGGAAGCACCGGCUAACUUCGUGCCAGCAGCCGCGGCAAUACGAAGGGUGCAAGCGUUGUUCGGAUUUACUGGGCGUAAAGCGCGCGCAGGCGGAUUAAUUAGUCAGAUGUGA
rnacentral:rRNA from 1 species